CGAAUGCUGACAUAAGUAACGAUAAAGCGGGUGAAAAGCCCGCUCGCCGGAAGACCAAGGGUUCCUGUCCAACGUUAAUCGGGGCAGGGUGAGUCGACCCCUAAGGCGAGGCCGAAAGGCGUAGUCGAUGGGAAACAGGUUAAUAUUCCUGUACUUGGUGUUACUGCGAAGGGGGGACGGAGAAGGCUAUGUUGGCCGGGCGACGGUUGUCCCGGUUUAAGCGUGUAGGCUGGUUUUCCAGGCAAAUCCGGAAAAUCAAGGCUGAGGCGUGAUGACGAGGCACUACGGUGCUGAAGCAACAAAUGCCCUGCUUCCAGGAAAAGCCUCUAAGCAUCAGGUAACAUCAAAUCGUACCCCAAACCGACACAGGUGGUCAGGUAGAGAAUACCAAGGCGCUUGAGAGAACUCGGGUGAAGGAACUAGGCAAAAUGGUGCCGUAACUUCGGGAGAAGGCACGCUGAUAUGUAGGUGAAGUCCCUCGCGGAUGGAGCUGAAAUCAGUCGAAGAUACCAGCUGGCUGCAACUGUUUAUUAAAAACACAGCACUGUGCAAACACGAAAGUGGACGUAUACGGUGUGACGCCUGCCCGGUGCCGGAAGGUUAAUUGAUGGGGUUA
rnacentral:rRNA from 1 species